rnacentral:lncRNA from 1 species
UCCUAUCACUCAAAGCAAACGCUCCCUAAAUUAUAUUUUCCAAAGCAUUCUUCCCAGCCAACUCUUGUGCAGAAUGAGUAAAAGCAAAAGGACAUUUCAGCAAGACAAUAACAGGCUUUAGCUGCUCAAAGGAAAACUCUACUAAAUCCCAAGAAUCCAAUUUAGCUAUUGUUAUAACCGGGUACACGAUCGAGAUAUUACAAAAUAAAUAUUUUGAGAAAUUACAACUCAAAAUAAUUGAAAAUAUUACAAUGUAAAUAAUUUGAGAAAUUACAACUCAAAUAAUUUGAUACAACUGAAAUACACUGUAUAAAUAAAUUAUACGUAUAAAUAAAGUCGAGUCGAGAUGAAUCUCUUCCCGCAAGAAGAUUAUCGCCCCGGUAGUGCUCUUCGGUUUGGCGUAUCUUCCCCAAAGGUAAAACGACUACGUCUCGUCGGAUGUAGCACCACAAUCCGGCNNNNNNNNNNNNNNNNNNNNNNNNNNNNNNNNNNNNNNNNNNNNNNNNGGUAAAACGACUACGUCUCGUCGGAUGUAGCACCACAAUCCGGCGAGCUCCGGCGAACUAAAAAGGAUCAAGAACUGAGCACAAGUGUUUGCAGAGAGAGUUGUUUGUAAAUGGCAGAAUGCAGGUAUUUUUUGUAGUGUUCUUCUGCAUGCUCUCCAUAGGCCUAUUUAUAGGCAUGUGGUGAGUAUGAAUUCAAUUCAUUGAAUUCAACUCCGGUGGCAGGAAGCUGUAAACGUUGAAGAGGUGGCCGGUGGGCGCAGCCAUUGAAGAAAACUUAGCUGCAAAAUUGAAUACGCAUGCAGAAGUCGUAGCAUGCGUUCUUCUGCUGCUGCUUCUUUUUUCUGCUGCUGCAUGUUGAUGUGUGGGCUGGGUUGCUGCUGAAGUGGGCUGGGCUUGGGAAUUAAAUUCUGUUGGGCCAAGAAAAUAAUUCUGUUGGGCCAAAAAUUAAAAAGCCCAAUGAAGUUGGUCCAAAAAAAAGUUUGGGCCCCAAACACCACCCCAAAGCACCAAUUGCCAAGAUCCAAGUCCUUGGCCGCGGCCCGUACCCGACCCGCCCGUCCGGCGGCGGCGGCGACGACGUCGUCGUCCGUCCGUCCGAUCGAUCGAUCGUCGUCGGCGGCGGCGCGCGUGUGUGUGUGCGCGCGAGGCUAGUACUUAGAUCAAGCCCACUAGCAAGCCCACAAGUCAAUUUAUCAACUCCAUGUGCUUUGCUAUUCUUAUACAUGAAAAACAUCUCUAUGUUUUCCAAUGUGGGAUAACAUAGCAUAAAUGUUAUUUUCCCUCUUCAACAUCCAAACUUUGACAUACAAUAUCUCACUCAUCGGAAAUCGGUUUUGAGACUUCAAGUAUAUCACGUUGAUCUACUCGAGAUGUAGAUUAACAUCCAAUCAUUAUUUUAAUUAAAUAAUAAAUAUUUAAUUAAAUAAUAAUUUCCAGAUAUGGCAUUAAAACCAUAUUUCCAACAAUCCCCCACAUGAGUGAGAAAUCAGUAUGCGAAAGUAUGCAAACACUUAGCUCAGUCCUCUUAAGAUACAACAUUGCAUUUGGAAAGGUAGCUUGUGGCUUUGAACCUGCCAUAGUCAAUAUUAUCGAGUAUACCGGCGGCCUAGUGGAUUGUGUUCCUUGAACUAGUCCUCCUCGGUGUAUACUUAGUCAACAAUAUUGACACAAUAUUGCUUCAAUCCUUAUUCGUUCUCACGUUUGUGUCCAUUACAGGCCUUGGAACACCUCUUUGGAUUCAUAAGUGUUUCAAUCGAAGCGGCCCCACUUCACACUUACAUAGGUGACUCUUAACUCAAGUAUCCUGCUAUACUUGUCCUCUUCGAGGAGUUCUAGAGUCAUUAAAAGUCAAAGACUUAACCUCACCACGUGCAGGUUUCCGAACACUCACUGUUCUACAAGUAAUAGGCAAUUCGAGUGUUCAACACACGGAUUUUCAUAGCUUAGUUGUCCCAUUGAACCAAGUUCUUGGGAUCCUCCAGUCAUCAUGGUUGGGUUGCCACUAUGAUUAUCCUUAAUUUGUGGACUUCAAACCCAUUCCCCCUAACAGUUUAUACAUCUGAUCUCGAUGGAUACUUUUUGUCAAAGGAUCCGCUAUGUUAUCAAUUGAUCUUAUAUAAUCAAUUGUGAUAACUCCACUAGUGAUCAGAUGUCUCACGGUAUUAUGACGUCGACGAAUAUGUCUCGACUUACCGUUAUACAAAUGGUUUUGUGCUCGUCCGAUAGCAGCUUGACUAUCACAAUGAAUUAUCACGGACGACACAGGUUUCGACCAACAUGGAAUAUCCUCGAGGAAAUUUCUAAGCCACUCGGCUUCUUCACCAGCUUUAUCCAAAGCUAUGAAUUCUGAUUCCAUGGUCGAUCUAGCAAUACAUGUUUGCUUCUUGGAUUUCCAAGACACAGCACCACCCCCCACAGUGAAUACAUAACCGCUCGUUGAAAACGAGUCUUUGGCAUCAGAUAUCCAAUUUGCAUCACAGUACCCUUCAAGUACAGAGGGUUCCCUAGUAUAAUGAAUCGCAUAGUUUUGAGUAUAUUUCAAAUAUCUCAAAACCCUUUCAAGAGCUUUCCAAUGUUCAUUACUAGGGUUAGCUGUAAAGCUGCCCAACUUGUUGACCGAGCAUGCUAUAUCGGGACGAGUGCAAUUUGUUAGAUACAACAAGCUCCCAAUAAUCUUCGCAUAUUCUAUCGCGUCAACAGGUUCUCCCUUGUGUACACUCAAAUGCACACUAGGUUCCCAUGGUGUCUUAGCUAUUGGCUUGUCAAAAGCGUUGAAUUUCUUUAACACUUUCUCAACGUAGUGAGAUUGUGUUAUAGUAAUACCAUCAGGUCUUCUUAGAAUUUUAAUUCCAAGGAUAACAUCAGCUAAGCCCAUAUCUUUCAUGCUAAAAUUUUUACUUAGCAUGCCUUUGGUUUCUUGAAUCACUCGGGAAUUACUUCCCAUGAUGAGCAUGUCAUCUACAUAAAGACAAACAAUAACAUAUCCGUUAUUAGAAUUCUUAAUGUAGACACAUUUAUCGCACUCAUUGAUUCUGAAUCCAUUUGACAACAUUACACUGUCAAAUUUUAAAUGCCAUUGAAGCGGUGCUUGCUUCAACCCAUAUAAAGACCUUUGAAGUUUGCAUACUUUGUGCUCUUGCCCAGGUACUACAAACCCUUCAGGUUGCUUCAUAUAUAUUUCAUCUUCCAACUCGCCAUACAAGAACGCAGUUUUCACAUCCAUUUGGUGAAUCUCGAGAUUGUGCAAGGCAGCAAUAGCGAGAAGCAUCCGAAUAGAUGUUAGUCUGGUCACAGGUGAAUAGGUAUCGAAGAAAUCGUACCCUUCUUUCUGCCUGAAACCUUGAACGACAAGUCGGGCUUUGUACUUAUCUAUAGUACCAUCAGAUUUGUACUUCUUCUUUAGGAUCCAUUUGCAUCCUAAAGCUUUACUUCCAGGUGGUAGAUCCACUAACACCCAAGUAUGAUUCUGCAUAAUGGAAUCAAUCUCAAUAUCGAUGGCUUCUUUCCAGAGAGCUGCAUCUGAGCCAGACAUAGCUUCUUUAAUCGUCACCGGUUCGCCAUCUAGCAUCAAGACAACAUAAUCCGGUCCAUAGACAUUAGCUUUUCUAACUCGUUCCCCACGUCUCGGUUCUACAUCCAUAGGUUUAGACCUUGGUCUUUUCCUAUUAGGUGGUACAUGAUUAGAACCCGUGGCAUCAUCUACUUGAGUAGAAUUACUAGCUACUUCCAUAGGUUUAGAACCUGUAGCAUCACCAUCAACUCCAUCAUUAGAGUUCGAUGUACCUUUAUCCUUGUUAGGAUAGAUAUUUUCAAAGAAUAUAGCAUUCCUUGAUUCUAUCGUUGUCCCAACAUGUAUAUCAGGUAUCUCCGAUCUGUGCACUAUAAAACGAUAGGCACUGCUAUUAAGUGCAUGACCAAUGAAGAUACAAUCCACCGUUUUAGGUCCUAUUGUAACUUGCUUUGGUAAAGGCACUUCUACCUUGGCUAAACACCCCCACACUUUGAGGUAUUUAUACGAAGGUUUCCUUCCUUUCCAUAGCUCAUAGGGAGUUACAUCUUUCCCUUUGAGUGGAAUCUUGUUCAAGAUAUAGUUGGCCGUUAAGACAGCUUCCCCCCACAUGUUCUGGGGUAAUCCUGAACUAAUCAACAAGGCAUUCAUCAUCUCCUUAAGAGUUCGAUUCUUGCGUUCAGCAACGCCGUUAGAUUGUGGUGAAUAAGGAGCCGUCGUUUGAUGGAUUAUACCACUUUCGUUGCAUAAUUCAGCAAACGGAGCUACAUAUUCUCCACCUCUAUCACUUCGAACCAUCUUAAUUCGACAUCCAAGUUGAUUCUCGGCUUCAUUUUUGAAGUUUCUAAAAGCUUCAAUAGCCUCAUCUUUACUUUUCAAUAAGUAAAGGUAACAAUACUUUGUGCAAUCGUCUAUAAAGGUGAUAAAGUACUUCUUGCCACCUCUAGUUUGCACGAACUUUAAAUCACAAACAUCGGUGUGAAUAAGUUCCAAUGGUUGAGUGCUCCUUUUUACCGAUUUAAACGGUAACUUAGCCAUUUUGGCUUCAACACAAACUUCACAUUUUUCUUGUGAGUUGUAUUCAUCAACUUUUAGUAAAUUCAUUUUUACUAAUCUCUUUAUAGCAUUUAGAUUAACAUGUCCAAGUCUACAAUGCCAUAAAUCAGAACACUCAAUCAAGUAAGCAGAAGAAGUUGAUGCAUCUUUAUUGAUUUUAGCCUUGGCAGGCUUACAAGCUCUUACACCAAGUUUGAAAAGUCCUUCGGAGGCAUAGCCUUUCCCUAGGAACUUUCCCCACUUGCGUAUUACAACAUAGUCAGAUUUAGAAAACAAUUCAAAAUCCUUAUUCGUAAGCCUAAAGCCCGAAAUUAAAUUCUUUCGGACAGUUGGAACGUGUAAUACGUCUUUCAAUGUGAUCUCCACGCCCGACGUGAGUUGAAGAAUCACAUCUCCCAUGCCAAGGACUUGGGAUGUCCGCUCGCUAGCCUCCAUUAUCGUUUUGUUUUCCACUUCCUUGUAGUUGUGGAACAACUCACGAUUUAUGCAUAUAUGGACGGUAGCGCCGGUAUCCACGAACCAAGCGUUCGGGUUGUCCACAUGAUUCACCUCGGAGAUCAUGGCAGCAAAGUCAUCGUGGUUCCAAUCGUCGAAGUCCUUCUCGACGUUGUUCACGUUGCUCUUUGCCUUCUUCCGCUUUGGCUUGCGGCAAUCCUUAGCCAUGUGACCUUGUUUGUCACAAUUAAAACAUACACCAUCAAACUUUGAUGGUUGACUACCGCCUUGUUUCCCUUUACCCUUAUUAUUAGGGUUAGGGCGACCACGUUUAUUGGAGGGACCGCCUUUCUCGGUGAGAUUGGCCUUUGCCUCCAUCGGAGCUUUUCCCUUUUGAUCACGACUUCUCACGUGAUCCUCCAUUUGAAGCUUGGAUAUUAAUAUCGGCACGGACAUCUCCGAGCGCUCAUGCUUCAAAAGGUUUUGAAAUUUCCUCCAACUAGGAGGUAAUUUCUCUAUGAUGAUUGCAACGAGCAAUGCAUCCGCCAAGGGCAUCCCUUCGGCUUGAACCUCAUGUGAAAGAUUUUGGAACUCUUCCACUUGGUCCAUCAAUGGCCGGGAGUCGACCAUUUUGUAUUCCAACCAUUUGGCGACAAUAUACUUGGUAGUAUUUGCCUUGUCUACUUGAUAUUUCAAAUCAAGGGCCUCCCACAAUUGUUUCGCGGUUUCAUGAACCUUGAAAACACGGUAGAGCCGUUCGUCCAGAGACAUGAGAACGGUGUUACGGCACAAGUAGUCGCCGCGGCACCAGUUCAAAUAUCCGGCACGAAUUUCUUGGCUCGUCUCCCCUUCACUCGGGGUUGGAGGUUUAUCCUCCAUUAAGAAUCCGGCAAACCCCACGGUUGUGAGGUAGAAUAGCAUCUUUUCUUGCCAAUAUUUAAAAUUCUUGCCCGAGAACGUUGAUGGUUUCUCGGCAAGACCAAUAGUUCUAGAUGUUUGCAAUGGGGCCAUGGUUGACGUUGAAGCCCCCGUUGAUGCAAACGAGGAAAACAUUGACGACGUAGUUGAACCGAUGGUUGCAGAGGUGGUGGAGCCGUCCAUAUUGACGUCGGUGUGAGCCAUUUCUCGAACGUGUAUCAACGGCAGAGAAAUAAUCUUCUUGCGAUUGUUAGAACCGGGUACACGAUCGAGAUAUUACAAAAUAAAUAUUUUGAGAUAUUACAACUCAAAAUAAUUGAAAAUAUUACAAAGUAAAUAAUUUGAGAAAUUACAACUCAAAUAAUUUGAUACAACUGAAAUACACUGUAUAAAUAAAUUAUACGUAUAAACUAAGUCGAGUCGAGAUGAAUCUCUUCCCGCAAGAAGAUUAUCGCCCCGGUAGUGCUCUUCGGUUUGGCGUAUCUUCCCCAAAGGUAAAAUGACUUCGUCUCGUCGGAUGUAGCACCACAAUCCGGCGAGCUCCGGCGAACUAAAUAGGAUCAAGAACUGAGCACAAGUGUUGUGCAGAGAGUGAGUGUGUAGGAAUGGCAGAAUGCAGUAUUUGUUGGUGUUGUUUGUUUGUUGUUCUGCAUGCUCUCCACAAGCCUAUUUAUAGGCAUGUAGUAAGUAUGAAUUCAAUACAUUGAAUUCAACUCCGACGGCUG